UCCUCCCUCUGGCGGCGUGCUUAACACAUGCAAGUCGAACGGAAAGGCCCUGCUUUUGUGGGGUGCUCGAGUGGCGAACGGGUGAGUAACACGUGAGUAACCUGCCCUUGACUUUGGGAUAACUUCAGGAAACUGGGGCUAAUACCGGAUAGGAGCUCCUGCUGCAUGGUGGGGGUUGGAAAGUUUCGGCGGUUGGGGAUGGACUCGCGGCUUAUCAGCUUGUUGGUGGGGUAGUGGCUUACCAAGGCUUUGACGGGUAGCCGGCCUGAGAGGGUGACCGGCAACAUUGGGACUGAGAUACGGCCCAGACUCCUACGGGAGGCAGCAGUGGGGAAUAUUGCACAAUGGGCGGAAGCCUGAUGCAGCAACGCCGCGUGCGGGAUGACGGCCUUCGGGUUGUAAACCGCUUUCGCCUGUGACGAAGCGUGAGUGACGGUAAUGGGUAAAGAAGCACCGGCUAACUACGUG
rnacentral:rRNA from 1 species